rnacentral:rRNA from 1 species
GACGAACGCUGGCGGCGUGCCUAAUACAUGCAAGUAGGACGCACAGUUUAUACCGUAGCUUGCUACACCAUAGACUGUGAGUUGCGAACGGGUGAGUAACGCGUAGGUAACCUACCUAUUAGAGGGGGAUAACUAUUGGAAACGAUAGCUAAUACCGCAUAACAGUAUGUAACACAUGUUAGAUGCUUGAAAGAUGCAAUUGCAUCGCUAGUAGAUGGACCUGCGUUGUAUUAGCUAGUAGGUAGGGUAAAGGCCUACCUAGGCAACGAUACAUAGCCGACCUGAGAGGGUGAUCGGCCACACUGGGACUGAGACACGGCCCAGACCCUACGGGAGGCAGCAGUAGGGAAUCUUCGGCAAUGGGGGGAACCCUGACCGAGCAACGCCGCGUGAGUGAAGAAGGUUUUCGGAUCGUAAAGCUCUGUUGUUAAGGAAGAACGAGUGUGAGAAUGGAAAGUUCAUGCUGUGAC